UACGAAGGGGGCGAGCGUUGUUCGGAUUUACUGGGCGUAAAGGGCGCGCAGGCGGCUCAUCUUGUCAGGCGUGAAAGCCCCGGGCUUAACCUGGGAGGUGCGUUUGAUACGGAUGGGCUAGAGUUCGGGAGAGGAGCGUGGAAUUCCCGGUGUAGCGGUGAAAUGCGCAGAUAUCGGGAGGAACACCGGUGGCGAAGGCGGUGCUCUGGGCCUUACCUGACGCUGAGGAGCGAAAGCGUGGGGAGCGAACAGG
rnacentral:rRNA from 1 species